rnacentral:lncRNA from 1 species
CCUGCUAAUUUCCUUAGCCCACGAUUCCAAUUCCCCAGGCCAGACCCCCAACUCCCUCAGCCCGAACCCCAACUCCCUCAGCCCGACCGCCAACUCCCUCAGCCCAAACCCCAACUCCCUCUGCCGGACCACCAAUUCCCUCAGCCCGAACCCCAACUGCCCCGGCCGGACCCCCAACUCCCUAGGCCAGACCCCCAACUUCCCCAGGCUGGACCACCAACUCCCUCAGCCCGACCCCCAACUUCCUCAGCCCGACCCCGAACUUCCCCAGGCCGGACCCCCAACUCCCUCGGCCCGACCCCCAACUCCCUUGGCCUGACCUCCACUCCCCUCAAUCCCUGCCUGCUCCCCACCGGCCAAGGUUGGUGACCCGCCUGCCCUCGGCGAGGCGGUCUGGCCUGACACUGCUGUGGCGCCUUCCUCCCUGGCCAGGACUCAUCCUCUUCCUGAGGCCCAGGCUGACACUGGCUCUCACUACAGCGUCUCCUUACUUCAGCUGCUCCGGUGAGCAGUCGACUGCUCCGACUUCUCCGCAGCCUCGAAGCAUCUGACGAAGCCUAGCCUUUGGGCGGGAGAAAAUAAAGCCUGGCCCUGGCCAAGCUCCCUGCUGAUUGGUUGAAUGCUAUGGGUACAUACGCUUACGUAGUAGCUCCGCCCCAUAGCACGUGCUCUGUGCCUGCUCUCACGUGGUAGCCAACGGCAGGGACACGGUGGGCGGGGGACU